AUUGGGCCUCAACCCUGGCCUUAGCUUCAGACACAGAACCAUGAAACUGGUAUUGGUUGGUAGUACUGGUGCCAGUUUCACUUCAUAGAACGAUUCCGGCCAUUCGUACUUCCUGUCCUAAGACCAAGACAACAGUGCCUCAGGAGUAGCUAACAUUCCCACAGCCCUUGCUUAAAAUCCCUCCUUGUUUGUAAAGUGAAGUUAGCCACUCUCAGGAAGUUACUUCAGCCCAAAUCACCGACCUCCAGACAUGCAUAGCAGAUACGGUUUCAUGAAGGACCGGCUAACUAGCCAUAUUGAACUGUGGAGUGAGCCUGUGGGUGAGCUCCCCUCCCGCUAGCCUCCUCCUCACUCUCCCCUCUGUGUGCCCUGCUGCAUCCUGCCUAGAUGCAAGAGCAGCUCACCCGCCGCCGGAGGCUUCCACCUUGGCUCCCAGGGGGACAUCCUGCAAAAUGAAUCAGCAGCCAUCCUGAGCAGGCUGAUUAAAAUGAAAAUGGCAAGGCACAUGUCUGGGCGGAACUGGAGCUCGGCUUUGUUGCCUGUCUGACAAGCACGCUCAAUAUAGCUCUUGCUAAUAAUGGCUUACUGCCUUUCGGUUUUUAAAAAGGUAUCACCCUUUCCUCUUAACCGACUGCUACUCGCGUGUGUGUGUGUGUGUGUGCACGCGCGCGCGCGCGAGCGCGCGUGUGCUUCACAUGUGUGUGCCACGGGGGUUGUGGGGGGACGGAUUGCUCGAUUCUAAUUUUCCACUGCUCACAUGCAGACAGCCCGCCUGACAACGCUGUUAUUUUAAAACUGAACUUAGUUGUCUUUCUUCUGAGGAAAGUGAUGGUUAAGUCUUGGAUGUGAUGUGGAGGUUGACAAAAACAGGGAUUUCUAGCCCAAGCCUUAGCCACAGAGCUGGGGGGAGGGGGUCAUCUAAUGCUUGCCUCUUUGGCUCACAGCCCAAAGCUAGAAGCAGCCCAGGUGAAGCCUGCUCCUGCUUGAAGCUUUUCUACCAGACUGUCUCCAUUCUCCGGAUCUCAUGCAGCAUACAGUCUGAACAUGGGAAAAUAGAAGCCACUGAAUGCUGCAGUUGGACAAAGUUUAUUGCAAAUAAAUCUCAUUUCUUUUCAAAAA
rnacentral:lncRNA from 1 species